AAAUUGAAGAGUUUGAUCAUGGCUCAGAUUGAACGCUGGCGGCAGGCCUAACACAUGCAAGUCGAACGGUAACAGGAAACAGCUUGCUGUUUCGCUGACGAGUGGCGGACGGGUGAGUAAUGUCUGGGAAACUGCCUGAUGGAGGGGAUAACUACUGGAAACGGUAGCUAAUACCGCAUAACGUCGCAAGACCAAAGAGGGGGACCACUGCCUGAUGGAGGGGGAUAACUACUGGAAACGGUAGCUAAUACCGCAUAACGUCGCAAGACCAAAGAGGGGGACCUUCGGGCCUCUUGCCAUCGGAUGUGCCCAGAUGGGAUUAGCUAGUAGGUGGGGUAACGGCUCACCUAGGCGACGAUCCCUAGCUGGUCUGAGAGGAUGACCAGCCACACUGGAACUGAGACACGGUCCAGACUCCUACGGGAGGCAGCAGUGGGGAAUAUUGCACAAUGGGCGCAAGCCUGAUGCAGCCAUGCCGCGUGUAUGAAGAAGGCCUUCGGGUUGUAAAGUACUUUCAGCGGGGAGGAAGGGAGUAAAGUUAAUACCUUUGCUCAUUGACGUUACCCGCAGAAGAAGCACCGGCUAACUCCGUGCCAGCAGCCGCGGUAAUACGGAGGGUGCAAGCGUUAAUCGGAAUUACUGGGCGUAAAGCGCACGCAGGCGGUUUGUUAAGUCAGAUGUGAAAUCCCCGGGCUCAACCUGGGAACUGCAUCUGAUACUGGCAAGCUUGAGUCUCGUAGAGGGGGGUAGAAUUCCAGGUGUAGCGGUGAAAUGCGUAGAGAUCUGGAGGAAUACCGGUGGCGAAGGCGGCCCCCUGGACGAAGACUGACGCUCAGGUGCGAAAGCGUGGGGAGCAAACAGGAUUAGAUACCCUGGUAGUCCACGCCGUAAACGAUGUCGACUUGGAGGUUGUGCCCUUGAGGCGUGGCUUCCGGAGCUAACGCGUUAAGUCGACCGCCUGGGGAGUACGGCCGCAAGGUUAAAACUCAAAUGAAUUGACGGGGGCCCGCACAAGCGGUGGAGCAUGUGGUUUAAUUCGAUGCAACGCGAAGAACCUUACCUGGUCUUGACAUCCACGGAAGUUUUCAGAGAUGAGAAUGUGCCUUCGGGAACCGUGAGACAGGUGCUGCAUGGCUGUCGUCAGCUCGUGUUGUGAAAUGUUGGGUUAAGUCCCGCAACGAGCGCAACCCUUAUCCUUUGUUGCCAGCGGUCCGGCCGGGAACUCAAAGGAGACUGCCAGUGAUAAACUGGAGGAAGGUGGGGAUGACGUCAAGUCAUCAUGGCCCUUACGACCAGGGCUACACACGUGCUACAAUGGCGCAUACAAAGAGAAGCGACCUCGCGAGAGCAAGCGGACCUCAUAAAGUGCGUCGUAGUCCGGAUUGGAGUCUGCAACUCGACUCCAUGAAGUCGGAAUCGCUAGUAAUCGUGGAUCAGAAUGCCACGGUGAAUACGUUCCCGGGCCUUGUACACACCGCCCGUCACACCAUGGGAGUGGGUUGCAAAAGAAGUAGGUAGCUUAACCUUCGGGAGGGCGCUUACCACUUUGUGAUUCAUGACUGGGGUGAAGUCGUAACAAGGUAACCGUAGGGGAACCUGCGGUUGGAUCACCUCCUUA
rnacentral:rRNA from 1 species